AUUUAGAGGAAGGAGAAGUCGUAACAAGGUUUCUGUAGGUGAACCUACGGAAGGAUCAUUGUCAAAACCUGCACAGCAGAACGGCCAGCGAACUGAUAACAACUGACGGGGGGCGAGGACCUCAUGUCUCCUGCUCGUAAACUGAACCCCGGCAUGGAACGCACUAAAGAAAUCGAACCAUGAGAGCCACGUCAGAGGCCCCAAACAUGAUGCGCCCUUGGCGUCGACGUAUUGCYAAUUAUCCAAAAUGACUUUCGGCAACAAAUAUCUAGGCUCUCAUAUCAAUGAAGAACGUAGCAAAAUGCAAUAUUUAGUGUGAAUUGUAGAAUCCCACGAAUUAUGGAGUUUUUGAAUGCAAGUUGCACUCGAAGCCUUUCAGCUGAGGGCGCUUCUGCCUGGGUGUCAUGCAUUGUUGCCUCGCUAAACACCAAUUCGGGUGGGGCGGAAGCUAGCCUCCCAUGCACGCCUACGCGCAUAGUUAGCCCAAAAAUGAGUCCUCGAYGAUGAGCACCAUGACAAUCGGUGGUUUUUUGACCUUCGUUCCCUAUUGUACGUGCCUUGUCGCCCGAACACCUCAUGCGCCCCUCUUGAAACCCUCACAUGUUGCCUCAGUGAUGCUCCUAACGUGGCACUAGGUUAGGUAGGACUACCCGCUGAGUUUA
rnacentral:rRNA from 1 species